GUGCGUAGGCGGGUCUUUAAGUCAGGGGUGAAAUCCUGGAGCUCAACUCCAGAACUGCCUUUGAUACUGAAGAUCCUGAGUUCGGGAGAGGUGAGUGGAACUGCGAGUGUAGAGGUGAAAUUCGUAGAUAUUCGCAAGAACACCAGUGGCGAAGGCGGCUCACUGGCCCGAUACUGACGCUGAGGCACGAAAGCGUGGGGAGCAAACA
rnacentral:rRNA from 1 species